GGAUCUUGUCUCUGUUGGUGUUGCUGAUAAUAGUGUUGACAGCCUCUGCUCUUGUCUUGAGGCCAAAUCGGUCCAACCUCAUCGCUCAAGGGAGGCCAAAGCCCAAGUGGCGCAGCUUGGGUGAACCCAGUGUUCCUAUUGAAUAUGUUUAUAAUACAGAAAGGUAAGUCAGCUGCUUAUUGUUGAGGUUUCUUGAUGUUUGUCAAAGGGAGUAGGUUUGGACAAGAAUACUGGGGAUGCACUGACAUUACAAUUCUGACAACUUAGCCAAUAUAUACUGUAUGAAGAAUUACUUUAAAGGAUACACAUACAUUUAGCCAUCACAGCAUUAUAAUGUAUACAGUAGUAUCAAACUUAGACAUUCAUUUUGAGAUUUGAUAAAGAUUAUGUUUAACAGUGUUGUUAAAUUAUUUAUGUUGCUAAUAUUAAUGUUGUAGUGUGGAAGACUCUGAGCUACUAGGUCUGAGAGGGGUGGGAGAGGGAGCAGAAUCAGAGGAACCUGCUGUUUGCAAAGGAGGUACAGUAACUGACAAUCAUCUGAACUGCCUGACAAUGGAUAAAUAUACAAAAACGCUUCUGAAUUCUUUCAAAUCCCAUAUUGAUGUGAAGGUUUCAGAACUACACUAAUGGAGCUGGAGGAGUUUAAUGUGAAAACGCUGUAUGACAAGUUAGAGGAUCAGAAUUUACAUCUGGCAACACAGCUGACAAAGCACCGCAAAGACACACAGGAGUUUUACAGGAACAUGUGCCAGCAAAUAGAUGCUCUGAGGGACACACUAGAAAAUAUGGAACCUUCAAAACUGAACCAGCUGAAAAAAAUACUAGACAAUGAAGUUCUGAUGAAAAGAGAAACUGCUCAUGAGCCGUGGAUGGGGCUGAUGGAGGCCGUGCUGAGAUCUUUGGAGGGAGUGCUGUGCAGAAUGAAUGGGGAGGUCUGGCAGCAACAGGACAGCACAGCAACAUACAGCCACAGAGACACUCGAGAGAGUGAACUUCACACCCGAUACACUCAGUUUUCUCCUGCAGACAUGUCAGAGUUUAAAGUGGGUGCAGACACAGAGGCAGCUUCCUCAGAUCCAGGUCAACAGCAGAGCACCAUCCCCUGCGUGAGUGAAGAGGAAAUGGCCAAGUUUGUGUCUCUGACUCCUCUGUCCAAAACACUGCAGGAAAUAAAGGAAUCACUCCAGACACUCGCCCACACAUCCGACACAGAGGACGUAAUUAUCAGCCCAGCAGAGGGUGAACCAUCGCACCUGAUCCCUGUUGCCCUUGACAGCCUUUCCCCACAGCAUUUUGCUAUCUUCCUGUUUGGCUGCCAUGUUGUGCGUUUACUGAGCAGAGCUUGUUCCUUCCCCUCUGUCGUGCUGCUAUUGGCCAGGACGGUGCCAGUCUCUCACUGUGAUAACCUGCUGGCCUACUGCCAUAAAGACUUUUAUUACGACACAGCCAAUCAAAUUCUGUACAUCCUAGAGAGGAAGCUUCAAAAUGCUGGCCAGUUCAUCUCCAUUCUCUUACACUCAAUGGCCUAUAUCACCUCAGGCUCAAAAUCUCUUGAAUUCAUGAAAGCCUUCCACUUGGCCAUUUCAGCAUUAAGCAUGCAGUUGUUUCAUCACUGUUUCACUGAGGAUCAGAGGAAAAUAAAGAUGGAUGAGGAAAACACACCGGAGGCCUUUGGAACAUUAGUAGAGGACUUCUUCAGUGUAAAAAUACCCACUGAAACGCAUUUCACUGAGCACCUGCUGGCAGAGAGACUUCAAGUAUAUAAAUACUUCAAGUUGGAACAGCUCCUUCAAGAACUAAAACCAACUCUAAAAGACAGACAUGGAGAUGGUGAGAGAUUUUGAGAGCGAUUUUUAAAAGAAAACAUUCUUACCCUUGUAAACAUCUGAUACAGUGGUACAAUUUUUGGUCUUUUGUGCACAGGACAAGGGCAAACUGGCCUAAAAACACAAGUCCCAGUGAGUGAAAGCACUUUUUGCAUGUUGUGUUUUAUUUAUUCUGAAGAGUGUACAUCUAUGGAAAUAUCUACUGUUUUUUAUCCACCUGUGAUUCAGGUGCCUCUGAUGGAAAGAGAAAUAAACCGACUUGAUGAAGUUUACCAGCAGCUCUCCUCUCAACUCCACAGGGCAACACACAUACGCAGCCCACCGGAGAAGAAAGAGCCCAGGUUUGACAAACCGCUUCAGGAGCAGCAGGUGAUGCUGGAGCUGCAGAAGUGUACGGUGGAUCAGAGACUGAAGGAGAUGAGAGACAGAUUUUCUAAACUGAGCUCAAGCCAGCGAGCGAGUCCUAAUGAAGACAGACUGGCUCACAGCACAGUCCUGGCUCAGGAAGACAACCAGACUCCCAGCAAACGCAAACCAGACAGCGGAGGAGCAGAGAAACAGACACCUGCUGCAGGACAGUCCAGCAACAAGAAGAAGCAGAGCAAGCAUGUGGACAAAGAUGAGGAAUUGGGUGUGACUGCAUGAGGAAUAAUGUUUGAAAAUGGUGAUUAUUCUAAAAAUAAUGUCUUGUCUUUAUACUGUGUUUUACUCCUACAGAUCUUACAAGUUACAAUCAUUUUAUCCAUUCAUAAUGACUGCGAAACUUGUGUGGCACAGUCACAGUCAGUCAGAAGAUAUUUAAUGUUUAAACUACAGUUAUAAUGAGCAGGGCAAGACGAAAUAGAAACAGAAAAUGUCCUUUCAGUUGUCACUUGUAGAUGUCAUUGCCGUUUAAGACAAAACUCACAUGGAGGAGAUGGGUUUAACAUCUAACACCCCUGGUUUAGAAGCAGUGUUAUGCUUAGCAACUUAGCAAAUGUAGUCACAACCUUAAAACUGUGAAUCUUUAUGGUUUGUUUUUAAUUUUCAUCAAUGUAUGCAUAUAUUUACACUACUGUUCAAACAUGUAGGGUUGGUAAGAUUUUUUAAAAAUGAUUUUGAAAGAAGUCUCUAAAGGAUGUAUUUAUUUGAUCAAAAAAUAUGGUAAAAAACAUUAAUAAUGUAAAAUAUUAUUACAAUUUAAAAUACCGUUUUCUAUUUGAAUAUAUUUUAAAAUGUAAUUCCAGUCUUCAGUGUCACACGAUCUCUCAGAAAUCAUUCUAAUAUCAAGAGAUAUUUCUUAUAAUCAGUGUGGAAAACAGUUGUGCUGCUUAUUAUUUUUGUGGAAACCGAGAUACAUUUUUGUUCAGGAUUCUUAAACGAACAUACAAUUCAAGAGAACAGCAUUUCUUUGAAAUAGAAGUCUUUUGAAUUGUCACUUUUGAUCAGUUUAAUGCAUCAUUGCUGAAUGAAAGUAUUAAUUUCUUUAAAAAAAUAAAAAAUCUUACUAACCUAAACA
ensembl:lncRNA